UACGUAGGGUGCAAGCGUUAAUCGGAAUUACUGGGCGUAAAGCGUGCGCAGGCGGUUUUGUAAGUCUGUCGUGAAAUCCCCGGGCUAACCUGGGAAUGGCGAUGGAUACUGGGCAGCUAGAGUGUGUCAGAGGAUGGUGGAAUUCCCGGUGUAGCGGUGAAAUGCGUAGAGAUCGGGAGGAACAUCAGUGGCGAAGGCGGCCAUCUGGGACAACACUGACGCUGAAGCACGAAAGCGUGGGGAGCAAACAGG
rnacentral:rRNA from 1 species